rnacentral:misc_RNA from 1 species
AACAUCGCGCACCUGCGGGAACCUGCGGAAGGAUCAUUACAGAGUUGCAAAACUCCCUAAACCAUUGUGAACGUUACCUAAACCGUUGCUUCGGCGGGCGGCCCGGGUCCUUCCCGGCGCCCAUCGGCCCUCGCGGGCGCCCGCCGGAGGUAAACCAAACUAUUGCAUUGUAUGGCCUCUCUGAGUCUUCUGUACUGAAUAAGUCAAAACUUUCAGCAAUGGAUCUCAGAUCGGAAGAGC